CCUACGGGUGGCUGCAGUAAGGAAUAUUGGUCAAUGGGCGCAAGCCUGAACCAGCCAUGCCGCGUGAAGGAUGACGGCCCUAUGGGUUGUAAACUUCUUUUGUACGGGAAAAAACCUCUGGUCGUGAAUCAGAGCUGAUGGUACCGUAAGAAUAAGCAUCGGCUAACUCCGUGCCAGCAGCCGCGGUACUACGGAGGAUGCAAGCUUUUUCGGGAUUAAUUGGGUGUAGGCGGAAUAAUAAGUGAAUAGUGAAAGCCUACAGCUUAACUGUAGAACUGCCAUUGAUACUGUUAUUCUUGAGUGUUGUUGAGGUAGGCGGAAUGUGUCAUGUAGCGGUGAAAUGCUUAGAUAUGACACAGAACACCGAUCGCGAAGGCAGCUUACCAAGCAACAACUGACGCUCAUGCACGAAAGCGUGGGGAUCAAACAGGAUUAGAUACCCCGGUAGUC
rnacentral:rRNA from 1 species